UACGAAGGAUUCGAGCGUUAUCCGGAUUUAUUGGGUUUAAAGGGUGCGUAGGUGGACUAAUAAGUCAGUGGUGAAAGCCCGAAGCUUAACUUCGGAACUGCCAUUGAUACUGUUAGUCUUGAGUACAGUUGAGGUGGGCGGAAUGUGUCAUGUAGCGGUGAAAUGCUUAGAUAUGACACAGAACACCGAUUGCGAAGGCAGCUCACUAAGCUGUAACUGACACUGAGGCACGAAAGUGUGGGUAGCAAACAGG
rnacentral:rRNA from 1 species